CCUCAAAGAUGUUCGUUUAAGUACGGCACGUCCUGUGCCAACAACGAACGACCCCGCAUCCUGCAGG
rnacentral:sRNA from 1 species